GGGGAUGUAGUUCAGUGGUAGAGCCCUUGCCUAGAAUACACAAGGUCCUGGGUUUGAUCCCCAGCAUCGCAA
rnacentral:tRNA from 1 species